UACGGAGGGUGCAAGCGUUAUCCGGAUUCACUGGGUUUAAAGGGUGCGUAGGCGGUUGGAUAAGUCAGUGGUGAAAGCUCGCAGCUUAACUGUGAAACUGCCAUUGAAACUGUCUGACUUGAGUACGAUUGAAGUGGGCGGAAUACAACAUGGUAGCGGUGGAAAUGCUUAGAUAUGUUGUAGAACACCGAUUGCGAAGGCAGCUCACUAAAUCGCCACUGACGCUGAGGCGCGAAAGCGUGGGGAGCAAACAGG
rnacentral:rRNA from 1 species